rnacentral:rRNA from 1 species
GAUGAACGCUGACAGAAUGCUUAACACAUGCAAGUCUACUUGAACUUCGGUUUGGGUGGCGGACGGGUGAGUAACGCGUAAAGAACUUGCCUCACAGAUAGGGACAACAUUUGGAAACGAAUGCUAAUACCUGAUAUUAUGAUUUUAGGGCAUCCUAGAAUUAUGAAAGCUAUAUGCACUGUGAGAGAGCUUUGCGUCCCAUUAGCUAGUUGGAGAGGUAACGGCUCACCAAGGCGAUGAUGGGUAGCCGGCCUGAGAGGGUGGUCGGCCACAAGGGACAGGAGAGACGGCCCUUACUCAUACGGGCGGGAGGAAGGGGUAAUAUUGGACAAAGGACGAAGAGUCUGAUCAAGCAAUUCUGUGUGGACGAUGAAGUUUUUCGGAGUGUAAAGUGCUUUCAGUUGGGAAGAAGAAAAUGACGGUACCAACAGAAGAAGUCACGGCUAAAUACGUG